rnacentral:rRNA from 1 species
CCUACGGGAGGCUGCAGUGAGGAAUAUUGGUCAAUGGGCGCGAGCCUGAACCAGCCAAGUAGCGUGAAGGAUGACUGCCCUACGGGUUGUAAACCUCUUUUAUCAAGGAAUAAAGUGAGGCACGUGUGCCUUUUUGUAUGUUCCCUAUGAAUAAGGAUCGGCCAACUCCGUGCCAGCAGCCGCGGUAAUACGGAGGAUCCGAGCGUUAUCCGGAUUUUUUGGGUUUAAAGGGAGCGUAGAUGGGUUGUUAAAUCAGUUGUGAAAGUUUGCGGCUCAACCGUAAAAUUGCGAUUGAUACUGGCAGCCUUGAGUACAGGUGGGGUAGGCGGAAUUCGUGGUGUAGCGGUGAAAUGCUUAGAUAUCACGAGGAACUCCGAUUGCGAAGGCAGCUUGCUAAACUGCCACUGACAUUGAUGCUCGAAAGUGUGGGUAGCAAACAGGAUUAGAUACCCUUGUAGUC